rnacentral:rRNA from 1 species
UACGGGGGGGGCAAGCGUUGUUCGGAAUUACUGGGCGUAAAGGGCUCGUAGGUGGCCAACUAAGUCAGACGUGAAAUCCCCAGGCUCAACCUGGGAACUGCGUCCGAUACUGGAUGGCUUGAAUCCGGGAGAGGGAUGCAGAAUUCCAGGUGUAGCGGUGAAAUGCGUAGAUAUCUGGAGGAAUACCGGUGGCGAAGGCGGCAUCCUGGACCGGCAUUGACGCUGAGGAGCGAAAGCUAGGGGAGCAAACGGG